rnacentral:rRNA from 1 species
CCUACGGGAGGCAGCAGUGGGGAAUAUUGGGCAAUGGGCGCAAGCCUGACCCAGCAACGCCGCGUGAAGGAAGAAGGCUUUCGGGUUGUAAACUUCUUUUCUCAGGGACGAAGAAAGUGACGGUACCUGAGGAAUAAGCCACGGCUAACUACGUGCCAGCAUCCGCGGCAAUACGGAGGUGGCAAGCGUUUUCCGGAUUUAUUGGGUGUAAAGGUCGUGUAGGCGGGAAUGCAAGGCCGAUGGUAGAAUUCAGGUCUCAACCCUGGGCCUGCAUUUGAAACUGUGGUUCUUGAGUGCUGGGGAGGCAAUCGGAAUUCCGUGUGUAGCGGUGAAAUGCGUAGAUAUACGGAGGAACACCAGUGGCGAAGGCGGAUUGCUGGACAGUAACUGACGCUGAGGCGCGAAAGCGUGGGGAGCAAACAGGAUUAGAUACCCGGGUAGUC